rnacentral:rRNA from 1 species
UGNNAAUAUUGCGCAAUGGGGGGAACCCUGACGCAGCCAUGCCGCGUGAAUGAAGAAGGCCUUAGGGUUGUAAAGUUCUUUCGGUAUUGAGGAAGGUUGAUGUGUUAAUAGCACAUCAAAUUGACGUUAAAUACAGAAGAAGCACUGGNUAACUNCGUGCCAGCAGCCGCGGUAAUACGGAGGGUGCGAGCGUUAAUCGGAAUAACUGGGCGUAAAGGGCACGCAGGCGGUUAUUUAAGUGAGGUGUGAAAGCCCCGGGCUUAACCUGGGAAUUGCAUUUCAGACUGGGUAACUAGAGUACUUUAGGGAGGGGUAGAAUUCCACGUGUAGCGGUGAAAUGCGUAGAGAUGUGGAGGAAUACCGAAGGCGAAGGCAGCCCCUUGGGAAUGUACUGACGCUCAUGUGCGAAAGCGUGGGGAGCAAACAGGAUUAGGUACCCUGGUAGUCCACGCUGUAAACGCUGUCGAUUUGGGGGUUGGGGUUUAACUCUGGCGCCCGUAGCUAACGUGAUAAAUCGACCGCCUGGGGAGUACGGCCGCAAGGUUA